GAUGAACGCUAGCGGCAGGCCUAACACAUGCAAGUCGAGGGGUAGAGUUCUUCGGGACUUGAGACCGGCGCACGGGUGCGUAACGCGUAUGCAAUCUACCUUUUGCAGAGGGAUAGCCCCAGAGAAAUUUGGAUUAAUACCCCAUAGUAUAGUACUUUGGCAUCAAGGAACUAUUAAAGUCACAACGGCAAAAGAUGAGCAUGCGUCCCAUUAGCUAGUUGGUAAGGUAACGGCUUACCAAGGCUACGAUGGGUAGGGUCCUGAGAGGGAGAUCCCCCACACUGGUACUGAGACACGGACCAGACUCCUACGGGAGGCAGCAGUGAGGAAUAUUGGACAAUGGGCGCAAGCCUGAUCCAGCCAUGCCGCGUGCAGGAUGACGGUCCUAUGGAUUUGUAAACUGCUUUUACACAGGAAGAAACAACGCUACGUGUAGCGUCUUG
rnacentral:rRNA from 1 species